rnacentral:rRNA from 1 species
UACGGAGGGUGCAAGCGUUAAUCGGAAUAACUGGGCGUAAAGGGCAUGCAGGCGGGACGUCAAGCAGGGUGUGAAAUCCCCGGGCUCAACCCGGGAACUGCACUCUGAACUGACGUUCUGGAGUAUCGCAGGGGGAGCGGAAUUCCAGGUGUAGCGGUGGAAUGCGUAGAUAUCUGGAAGAACACCAAAGGCGAAGGCAGCCUCCUGGGCGAAUACUGACGCUCAUAUGCGAAAGCGCGGGGAGCAAACAGG